AUGCUCCGCCGGCUUCAGCGUGUUGGGGUGCAGGUGUUGGCCGCUCUCUGGCCUGGUGAGGUGAUUCCCCGCACCCCCAGUCGGACUGCCGACUGGCUGGAGGUGGCGGUCGGCCGCUUCGAGACCUGGAAGGCUUCUGCGGCUCGGUCCGGCGCCAGGUGGGCGCUGCAGUUCGUCAAGGCCUGGUAUGCCGAGCUGAGUCUGGACCAGCUGGCCACCUGGCAGCAGGAGGCCGACACGGAGCUGGAGCCGGCGCGGCCGGCUAUCAUUCAGCGGGCUUCGGCGAUUGCCGACUACACUGACACCAGCGCCAUUGCUCCUGAGGUGGACGACAACGGCGUUGCCCAGCCGGAGGAGUGGUUCGGGCUGAACCCGGCAGAUGGCGAGGACUCGGCGGAGGAGAUCGACUCCAGCGACGAGGGCGAGGAGGAGGAGGGUGAAGACGCCGCGCCAGAUGGUGGAGCGGCCGGUCAGCCUCAGCUUGACCGUGCCUCCAGCAACAAGGCACGCGCGGGUGCACUGCCUGCAGCCGGCGAUGAUCAAGCCGAGACCCGCCAGCCGGCCACUCCUCCAGCCGGCGGCACCGUCUCCACCGACCAGCCCGGCUCCCCUGCUGCGCCUUUAGUCUAG
rnacentral:rRNA from 1 species